GAUGAAGAACGUAGCGAAAUGCGAUAAGUAAUGUGAAUUGCAGAAUUCAGUGAAUCAUCGAAUCUUUGAACGCACCUUGCACCCUUUGGACUGCUCCAAAGGGUAUGCUCGUUUGAGUGUCAUUGUACUCUCACACUCUCUGAUCCUUUGGAUUUGGGGAGCAGUGGACUUGGGUGCUUGCUGCUUCCUUGUGGCUCACCUGAAAUGCAUCAGUGCAUCUCUCGAUUGGACAUAGUACGGCGUGAUAAGUGUCUUCGCCGGCACCUCAUAUGAGGGUGGCCGAUCGGGAGCUCUGUGCUUUCAAACCGUCUUCGGACAACGCUGACAACUUGACCUCAAAUCGAGUAGGACUACCCGCUGAACUUAAGCAUAUCAAUAGGGAGGA
rnacentral:misc_RNA from 1 species